rnacentral:rRNA from 1 species
UUUUUUCUUAAGUCUGAUGUGAAAGCCCCCGGCUCAACCGGGGAGGGUCAUUGGAAACUGGGGAACUUGAGUGCAGAAGAGGAGAGUGGAAUUCCACGUGUAGCGGUGAAAUGCGUAGAGAUGUGGAGGAACACCAGUGGCGAAGGCGACUCUCUGGUCUGUAACUGACGCUGAGGCGCGAAAGCGUGGGGAGCGAACAGGAUUAGAUACCCUGGUAGUCCACGCCGUAAACGAUGAGUGCUAAGUGUUAGAGGGUUUCCGCCCUUUAGUGCUGCAGCAAACGCAUUAAGCACUCCGCCUGGGGAGUACGGUCGCAAGACUGAAACUCAAAGGAAUUGACGGGGGCCCGCACAAGCGGUGGAGCAUGUGGUUUAAUUCGAAGCAACGCGAAGAACCUUACCAGGUCUUUGACAUCCUCUGACAACCCUAGAGAUAGGGCUUCCCCUUCGGGGGCAGAGUGACAGGUGGUGCAUGGUUGUCGUCAGCUCGUGUCGUGAGAUGUUGGGUUAAGUCCCGCAACGAGCGCAACCCUUGAUCUUAGUUGCCAGCAUUCAGUUGGGCACUCUAAGGUGACUGCCGGUGACAAACCGGAGGAAGGUGGGGAUGACGUCAAAUCAUCAUGCCCCUUAUGACCUGGGCUACACACGUGCUACAAUGGGCAGAACAAAGGGCAGCGAAGCCGCGAGGCUAAGCCAAUCCCACAAAUCUGUUCUCAGUUCGGAUCGCAGUCUGCAACUCGACUGCGUGAAGCUGGAAUCGCUAGUAAUCGCGGAUCAACCAUGCCCGGGGGGAAAUACA